AGCUGGAGGACAGCGAGGGAUUUAAGCCUUGCAUUGCUUUUGCCAGCCGCUUCGCUCCUGAGGAGCGCGGCUUGACCGAGCGGCCCGCGGCAGUGAUCCAAGGUUCUGCAACGGCACCAAAUUCAAGCUAGCCUACCUCCUGUGGAGAUCAGUAUGGGGUCCUUCCAGUCCAGACCAUAUUCCCUUCCUCCUUGCACUGAUAUCUCCUUCCAUGCAAGCAACCAGCUCUCCCCUGUGCCUGCAAUCUUCCUCCCAUGUCGUGAGUGAGGCACCUACCUUGUCCUGCAGCCUGCUAGGUUGGGACAUCAGCAAAUCUGCAGUU